rnacentral:lncRNA from 1 species
CAGUAGAAAAUAUUUAGGCCCAGGGAGAGGUGUCUCAUGGAGUGGAUGAAAGAGAACAGGGGCCAGGGGAUUUUGAGGCUUAGUGCCUCAUUCUCCAUUCACAGAACAAGUGAGUUGGCUUAGGUGAGUCUCUGGGGACCCUUGGGCUGAAAGCCACUGAGCAAGGGAUUGAUCCAGACCCACCCUUCAACUGCUGAGCCACACAGCUUAGCCUGUGCAGGACACCUGGCCUCCUAACGGUUUCUUGCCUUGGCAUGCGAACAUUUGGUGUCGCCCUGAAAUCUAGGAGAGGCACCAGAUGCCCAGGUGGGCAGGAAACCAUCAUCAUCAUGGGUUGAUUAGAACCCAUCUGUUUUUUAAAAGGGUAGGAUAUCUGGGCUCUUUAUUUUAAGCAAGCUCUGAUCUUAUGAAAUAAAGAAGUCCAGCUUUUCCCAUGGUGUGUUUGUAGACCACAAGUGCCAUGGGGUGUAAAGAUGUGUUACAGGGAGAAAAUGAAAGUCCAAUGGCCAAGUACAUUUGGGAAACUUUAAAGACCCUUAUCCUGCAGGAGUUCUCAGUCUUUAAUAUGCAGAAGUGCAUUGGGUAUCUGCAAAAUAGUAUGUGUGUGUGAGGGUUGUGAAUGUGAGUGUGUGUGUAGAGGUGGGUACUGUGUGCAGCUUUUUAAGAUUAAUUGAUCAGAGAACAAAUAUAUAUAUAUGUUAUAUAUAUAUGUUAUGUACAUACACACACACACACACGCACACACAUUUAGACACAUACAGAAUAGCUGGAGAAGAGUUCCACAGAAAAACAUUUGGGGAAAUGCUAAGGUUAUCUGAGGUCAAAGCUAAAAAAAUUAAAGUGAAUAAACAGUGACUUAAAACUUAUUUCUGCAUGUUAGUUUCAGCAUGUCAGUUUCUCACAUUUUUUCCCACUUUGUUAGCUUAAUUUCUUUUAUCCUCAGAAGAAAAAUGGCAUGCAAAUGAUCCUUUUCCCUUCCCUACGUGCGGUGCUCAUGGGAGGCAGAAGUAUUGUGUGUGCUCAUUGAGACGAGGGUAACCAAGCUCAUGUGACAAAUCAAUGGUGGGUUUGUAACCCAGAAACCCACAUGUGACAUUGGUGUUUAGGAGCUAAAAAAGAACCUUAUUUUAAAAUGCCACUAAAGACCAAAAACCCUUUUGUCAUGUAUAGCUUUCACACAUAGAGUUGCCAGCACCUGCAUAUACACAGGUGUGUUUGUUACCCCGCAGGGCAGGCUUCUUUAUUGGUCAGUGUGCCUGGUCAGUGGAAAUGGCCGAGUCUGUACCUCCCCUGCCCCCGCCAUGCCCAUGCCAGUGUUUUUCCCUGACUGUGAGAUCAUGGGACAUGGUGGCUGCAGCCUCAGGCUUUGGAGUCUGGCACACAGAGGUCCAGUCUGGGCCCUGCCACCUUCUGGCUAUGUGACCUUGGGCAAGUCAGUUGCGUCUCUGUAAGAUGGUGGUGAUGAUGGUUGAGUGGAGGUGAGGGAUGAAAUGUGCCGAUGCAUGCUCGUUUAAUACUUUGCUCAGUGCCCAGCAGGUCCAUGAGUUUAGCUACUUCAGGCACAAUAGGUGGCCACAGCCUGACAGGGAAACAGGGAGGUGACCCUGAUCUUCAGUAUGACAGCUUGGGCCUACCAGCCCUAGGCCUAGACCAGGGUUCUCCUGAGGAGGUAAAGGAAUCGUUCCCUGGAUUCCAAGGAAGAACUGGGCAUUGGAGCCUCAUUUUAAGAGGGGAUGUUUGUUGUGGUACUUAACAGUGUAGACCCACCCUGAGUUCAAAUCCCAGCCCCGACUCUUAGUGGUUGUGUGAGGCACUUACUGGUUUAAGAGGCAAAUUGCUCCAACUCUGCCUCAUCCUUCUCACUUGCAAAAUGAGGCUGGUAGUGAUACCUGCCUCGCAGGGUUGCUGGGGAAGGCCCCUAGAAUGUUGCCAGCCACGUUAACAAGGACCUCCCAAACACAGGUUCGAGUCCUUCCCAAACCUCAGUGAGUCUGGUCCUGUUGCCCCUGUUGUGCACAUAAGGAAACUGAGCACAGAGAGGUUCAGUAGUUUAAAGACAGCUACACAGAUGAGCAUGUUUGAAUGUGUGUACGUGCUCGUUUUCUGUUAGAAUAGGAGUCAAACUGUACUUUUAGAAUAACAUGCUCGUGGAACAUUUGGAGAGCCUCUGAAACACUUUCAUGGAACACAAUUUGGAGACUACCCCUUCAGCAAAUAUUGGUGGUUCUCAUUUUUGUACUGGAGGAUAAUGGAGGGGCCACGGAUGCUGAGAGUUGGAGGCAGAGGAGGAAGGAGGAGAGAUGGGGAGGGGAGAAGUUGAGGUGAUGCUGUGGAGAGUGCAGUCAGUAGUGGAAAUAGUACUCUUCGCAACCCAGGGAGGCCAUGUGAGCUUCUGCUGAGGCUUGGGAAGUCUCCUAGCAGUUGUUGAUGAGCAAACUCAGCUCCUGGGGCUGCUUUAAUGACCUCUGGCCCGCGCCUUUGAAGAAAAGGUGCAGAAGAGCGUGGAGCAAGGUAAACAUGUGUGCAGAGAAGUGGGGGUGGGGAG